UCUUUAUAAGGAUAAUUUUAAAUUUAAUUUUUUAAUAAUUAUGUUUAUAAAAUUAAACUUAUUUUAUUGGGGUGAUAUAAAAAUUUACAGAACUUUUUAUUUAUAUUUAUUUUAAUUAAAAGAAAAUAAAUUGAGCUAUUUUAAUAAUUUAAAGAAUAAGA
rnacentral:rRNA from 1 species